UACGUAGGGGGCAAGCGUUGUUCGGAAUUACUGGGCGUAAAGGGCGCGUAGGCGGCACGGCAAGUCGGGAGUGAAAGCCCGGGGCUCAACCCCGGAGGGUCUUCCGAAACUGCCGAGCUAGAGUGCGGAAGAGGCAACCGGAAUUCCCAGUGUAGCGGUGAAAUGCGUAGAUAUUGGGAAGAACACCAGAGGCGAAGGCGGGUUGCUGGGCCGACACUGACGCUGGGGCGCGAAAGCCAGGGGAGCAAACGGG
rnacentral:rRNA from 1 species